AUCUAGUGGUGAGAGCAGCUAGCACAUAAUUUCUUGAAUCUUUCCCAGUACUCAUACAAGCUUUCUCCACUAAGUUUCCUGAAGCUUGAAAUUUAUUUUCUGAUGGC
rfam:Glycine max cultivar Williams 82 chromosome 20, whole genome shotgun sequence.